rnacentral:rRNA from 1 species
CACGUAGGGCGCGAGCGUUGUCCGGAAUUAUUGGGCGUAAAGAGCUCGUAGGCGGCCUGUUGCGUCCGCUGUGAAAGCCCGGGGCUUAACCCCGGGUCGGCAGUGGAUACGGGCAGGCUAGAGGUAGGUAGGGGAGAAUGGAAUUCCCGGUGUAGCGGUGAAAUGCGCAGAUAUCGGGAGGAACACCGGUGGCGAAGGCGGUUCUCUGGGCCGGCACUGACGCUGAGGAGCGAAAGCGUGGGGAGCGAACAGG